UAUUUUCACAAAAAAAUUAAGAUUUCUUUAUAAUAGGUGUAUAUAACCUAUGUAACGCAUCGCAUUGAGUGCAUUACUCCUAUUAAUCGUCUUUCAUUAAUGGCACUUAGCGUACCAACUAAAUUGGUUUUGUCCGCGGGCAUAAAACAUGAUAUAUAUGCGAAUAUAACUUUCUCUCUCCAUCAUACCGACGAAAAAAACUUAUUACUGAGUUUAGUUAUUUUCUUCAACAAAUAAAUCAUAUUUGAAAUAUAAGAAAAUAUAUUGUAAAUAACUUUAGUCACUAUUUAUGUAUUGCAGAGUUUUAUUUAUCUUCAUUUUAAGAUACAAUAUGUCAGAGAUUAUAAGAUGUAACUUGUGAUAUUGAUGCAACAUAUGCUGGCCAUAUUCAGAGUGAGGUGACAGAAAAAGUAAUAGCCACAUCAAGUAUUAAUUAUAAUUAACAUUCCGUGCAGCAGAAUGUAUGAACAGAAUUAACGAUAAUAUAAAAUCGAUCAUAUUAUACAUGUAUGAAAAGACGAGUUGAUAUCUAUUUAGAAAAUGUGAAUAUAAUUAUAGACAAUAGGAAUACAUGAAAAUUGUAUAAAUAACAGACAACAAUAAACUUGCUCACUAUAUAUGAACAAAUAUUGUGGAAGAUUUUUGUAGGCACAUUAUUUCUUUAAAUACGAUUGUAUAAAAAAUAUAGUUUAGUUAUUUUAAUAAAGGCAGAUCAGUUAAGGCUGCAUUUUCUAAUGUAAUUAGUAAGUGCAAUUUGUUACGUUUAAUUAUGUUUCUUUGGGAAUGAACAUGGUUUUUAAUUAACGAUAUAAGAAAAAUUAUAUCAAAAGUUAUCUAGUAAAUAGUAAAAAGUUAUUUAAAAAAUCGGUGCAUAUAUUCCUUAUUCUGA
rnacentral:misc_RNA from 1 species